CGAGUCACAUGUAUGGGGCGCCGUUUAUAAAAUGUGUAUAAUCGCGAUUGUUCUGGAAGAAAAAAUGUGGGUGCGAAUAACAACAUGUAUUUGGCUACUAAUUUCGACAAGGAAAAGUGUGAUGGUUUCAGCGACUGUAGAGGAAGACUACAGGACUUAUCCGUGUUGUAGGGAUGGAUCCACUCUUGAGUUGCCCAUACAUCCAAAAUGUGAACAAAGCUGGACAAAGGGGGAUAUGCCCUUUGCAGAAUACAACAGUGAGCCCAGGGGAUGCCAGGACCCUUGCAUGGAGAUCUCCUCUGGAAAAAUCACACUGAGCAAAUGUGUCAACUUGACACUCAUUGUCGUGUGUUCAAACGUGGGUCACUUAAGAAUGACUAGAUAUACUAACUUUAAUUUUUUAUUUGGAUUCCAUCUUCAAAAAG